GACGAGCGCUGGCGGCGUGCCUAAUACAUGCAAGUUGAGCGCUGAAGGUUGGUACUUGUUCCUACUGGAUUAGCAGCGAACGGGUGAGUAACGCGUGGGUAAUCUGCCUUUGAGCGGGGGACAACAUCUGGAAACGAAUGCUAAUACCGCAUAAAAACUUUAAACACAAGUUUUAAGUUUGAAAGAUGCAUUUGCAUCACUCAAAGAUGAUCCCGCGUUGUAUUAGCUAGUUGGUGAGGUAAAGGCUCACCCAGGCGAUGAUACAUAGCCCAACUGAGAGGGUGGUCCGCCCACUUGGGAAUGGGACCCGGCUCCAGCUUCUUCGGGGGGCAGCCGUAGGGGAUCCUCGGGAAAGGACGAAAGGCUUAACGGGCAACGCCGCGUGGGUGAAGGAGGUUUUCGGGUCGUAAAACUCUGUUGGUAGAGGAGAACGAAGGUGGGAGUGGAAAGCUCAUCAAGUGACGGUAACUACCCAGAAAGCGACGGCUAACUACGUG
rnacentral:rRNA from 1 species